rnacentral:rRNA from 1 species
GACGGAGGAUGCAAGUGUUAUCCGGAAUCACUGGGCGUAAAGCGUCUGUAGGUGGUCAAAUAAGUCAACUGUUAAAUCUUGAGGCUCAACUUCAAAAUCGCAGUCGAAACUAUUCGACUAGAGUAUAGUAGGGGUAAAGGGAAUUUCCAGUGGAGCGGUGAAAUGCGUAGAGAUUGGAAAGAACACCGAUGGCGAAGGCACUUUACUGGGCUAUUACUAACACUGAGAGACGAAAGCUAGGGUAGCAAAUGGG